AGAGUUUGAUCCUGGCUCAGAAUCAACGCUGGCGGCGUGCCUAACACAUGCAAGUCGCACGAGAAAGGGUAGCAAUACCUGAGUACAGUGGCGCACGGGUGAGUAACACGUGAAUCAUCUACCUUCGAGUGGGGAAUAACUGGGAGAAAUCUCAGCUAAUACCGCAUAAAACCUACGGGUCAAAGCAGCAAUGCGCUUGAAGAGGAGUUCGCGGCAGAUUAGUUAGUUGGCGGGGUAAUGGCCCACCAAGACGAUGAUCUGUAUCCGGCCUGAGAGGGCGCACGGACACACUGGAACUGAAACACGGUCCAGACUCCUACGGGAGGCAGCAGUGGGGAAUUUUGCGCAAUGGGGGAAACCCUGACGCAGCAACGCCGCGUGGAGGAUGAAAUCCCUUGGGAUGUAAACUCCUUUCGAUCGGGACGAUUAUGACGGUACCGGAAGAAGAAGCCCCGGCUAACUUCGUGCCAGCAGCCGCGGUAAUACGAGGGGGGCAAGCGUUGUUCGGAAUUAUUGGGCGUAAAGGGCGCGUAGGCGGUUUGACAAGUCUGAUGUGAAAUCUAUGGGCUCAACCCAUAGCCUGCAUUAGAAACUGUCGGGCUUGAGUAUGGGAGAGGUGAGUGGAAUUUCCGGUGUAGCGGUGAAAUGCGUAGAUAUCGGAAGGAACACCUGUGGCGAAAGCGGCUCACUGGACCAUAACUGACGCUGAGGCGCGAAAGCUAGGGGAGCAAACAGGAUUAGAUACCCUAGUAGUCC
rnacentral:rRNA from 1 species